AAGCGAAACCGCCCCGGCGUGCUGGGGCGGUCUGCCGGACGUGGUUGUCCGGUACUGAUGAGCAGCCACCC
rfam:Pseudomonas sp. MF4836 contig012, whole genome shotgun sequence.